GGGUCAGCGACUUAUAUUCUGUAGCAAGGUUAACCGAAUAGGGGAGCCGUAGGGAAACCGAGUCUUAACCGGGCGUUAAGUUGCAGGGUAUAGACCCGAAACCCGGUGAUCUAGCCAUGGGCAGGUUAUUUAUAUGUACUCGUUAUGCUAAUCCACUCACUCUUCAUGACAACGAUUUCUUAACAAUUUACAUAAAAGGCUAAAAUGGCCUGCUGAAAGGUGUCAGCUUUGCGUAAUCUUGAUUUAGAUCA
rnacentral:rRNA from 1 species